UGUUUUGGAGCAUAGUGGUUUGAGCUCUGGCUUACGACUCUAGAGACCAGGGUUGGAGUCCCUGCUUGGCCA